rnacentral:rRNA from 1 species
CAGAGAUUUCCGAAUGGGGAAACCCAGCAUGAGUUAUGUCAUGUUAUCGAUAUGUGAAUACAUAGCAUAUCAGAAGGCACACCCGGAGAACUGAAACAUCUUAGUACCCGGAGGAAGAGAAAGAAAAUUCGAUUCCCUUAGUAGCGGCGAGCGAAACGGGAAGAGCCCAAACCAACAAGCUUGCUUGUUGGGGUUGUAGGACACUCUAUACGGAGUUACAAAGGACGACAUUAGACGAAUCAUCUGGAAAGAUGAAUCAAAGAAGGUAAUAAUCCUGUAGUCGAAAAUGUUGUCUCUCUUGAGUGGAUCCUGAGUACGACGGAGCACGUGAAAUUCCGUCGGAAUCUGGGAGGACCAUCUCCUAAGGCUAAAUACUCUCUAGUGACCGAUAGUGAACCAGUACCGUGAGGGAAAGGUGAAAAGCACCCCGGAAGGGGAGUGAAAUAGAACCUGAAACCGUGUGCUUACAAGUAGUCAGAGCCCGUUAAUGGGUGAUGGCGUGCCUUUUGUAGAAUGAACCGGCGAGUUACGAUUUGA